ACAAAAUAUGGAAACUUCAUUGUUGAAGUAGUGGACCCAGUUUCUGACUACCUGGAGCUAAUGGAGCAUGUAUUUGAUUUUGAGCUCAUCAGAAGUCUUCUUGUACGACCAGAUUUCAGGUUUAUUUUUGAUGCCAUGCAUGCUGUUACUGGUGGGUCACUGGUGCUUAUGCAAAGCCCAUCUUCGUGGACAAGCUGGGAGCCAGUCCAGACUCAAUUUCAAAUGGAGUGCCCCUGGAGGA
rnacentral:misc_RNA from 1 species